GCCGGGCGUAGUGGUGCACGUCUGUGAUCCUAGCGACUCGGGAGGCUGAAGCAGGAGGAUUGUGUGUUCAAAGGCAGCCUCAGCAACUCAGCAAGACCCUGUCUCUA
rnacentral:sRNA from 1 species